GCCGGGGUGGCGGAAUUGGUAGACGCAAGGGACUUAAAAUCCCUCGGGUAUUCAUACCUGUGCCGGUUCGAGUCCGGCCCUCGGCACCA
rnacentral:tRNA from 1 species